rnacentral:rRNA from 1 species
AAAGGGUGCGUAGGUGGCUUUUUAAGUCAGGGGUGAAAGACGGUAGCUUAACUAUCGCAGUGCCCUUGAUACUGAAGAGCUUGAAUGAACUAGAGGUAGGCGGAAUGUGACAAGUAGCGGUGAAAUGCAUAGAUAUGUCACAGAACACCAAUUGCGAAGGCAGCUUACUAUGGUUAAAUUGACACUGAGGCACGAAAGCGUGGGGAUCAAACAGGAUUAGAUACCCUAGU